ACAAAAGGAUAUUCUUGGGUGCUGGUUUCGACUAGGUUUAUUCUGCCUGAAAGUUUUUCAUGAACGGUGGUCACUUUCUACAUUUACUUCUUCGAUUAUUAAAACUCUUUAUACAAUUAAUUCAAGCUAAUGGUGUGCUUGAUCUGGUUGUUAUGUUAGCUUCUAUCUUAUUCGAUAUCUUUUCCCCGUGUAGCAUGUGACAAGAAAAAUGUUUUUUAAUUUAAGAAGUCUGUUAUCAGUCUAUUAUCUCCCUCUGACUACUAAUACUAGCUUUUCCUGGAAAGCAGAGAAGAUCUUAAAUUCUAAAUUACAACACUAAAUGUGAGCGCAUAGCUCCAAUUAUCGUGGCCAGGUUUACCCAAUACUUGUGCUUGUGGGUAUCACAGAUUUCCUAGGGGAGUAGUCGAGUGCACAAGAUGUCCAGGCACCACGGUUGUAAUAAAAAGAUACACUGUCAUUUAACAGAUGAUAAAGAAUUUUGCUAUCCAUUUUCUAAAGACAACAAAAAAUGGUAAAGAUUUCAUUUAUAUGCUUUGAUCAAAGGCUUUUUACAAGUUUACAACUCUUGCCUAGUAAGAUGGAAAAAAACUAAAAACGAAAAAUUCUAAGCUAGCUCUAAUCUGAAGCUCAGAAUGCUACUUCAUUUCAUAGAUUCAAUCGAGAAGUCACAUAAACAAAAUCAUCCUCAUUGCAAGGAAUUGUUAGACCACCCGUUGGAUGAUGAAAUCCAAACUCUUCUUCUGCUUUCUGCAACAAGUUCUGGAAAGAAGGAUGAUCGAGACUGAUGAUACACAGUACUCACGAGGCAUAUUUGGGGCCUUUGUUGUUUGGUUGCUGCGUUUGGUUGCUGCUUCUCUAACUUCUAUUGUGCCAGAUUGAUGGAAGUGGCAGUGGCUCUAGGUAUUUUUGUUAAAAAAAAAGAAUUUACUAUGCAGGGUAUAGCGGAAGGGGAAAUAGGAGGGGAUUACAAGGCUGAGAAUCGAAUCCUCACCAACCAAUUGAUCGUUACUAAGAUUCUCUGUGGUGGCUCUAGGCUUAUUUUACAGUUCCACUCUUCCCCAGUUUUCUAUAAUUCAAUCAAGAUUGGUUCAUUUCCUGCUGUCAAAAUGAAUAAGUAGUUGCUCAGCCUGACAUAUCUGCCCUACCAGUUUGGAUAUGUCCUUUUCUACAUGUCUUCUGAAGAGCACUUGUCCUAUAGGUAUUGUAGGAGUAGGUAAUCUUGUCUGGAUAAGGAGAUUUUAGUAGUGACGGGCUAGAAAAGGCAGAGUUUUACCAAGGCAGACAACAGUAUGGCAAGUGUAAAAUAGGCAACCAUUCUGGUAGCAUGAAUAAAUGCCUUGAGAUGAAGUCACUAUUUGGCGAGUGUAAAAUACUCUUUUUUAAUUUUUGUACUCCUAUUUUAUCUCUUCCCUUUGGUGUGUUUUUUCAAUCUUUUCGACCUUGGUUUGCAGGAUUUAUGUUGCAGCUGAUUACAUGCGAGUGACUUGGCAAUGUAAAUCGUUACUUGCACAAUUAGUACUAUAAUAGUAGGGAACUGAGGAUAAAGAGAUGCUGAAAAGCAAUGUUUUGGAUUACACAACUAUGAUAUUACAAUAAAAUAUAUUCAACAUCUAGGUAAAGUGGGGAUUUCUGUCUAAUAAACUUCUAACCUACAUUAUACUUGAUGGUACAGAUUGAAGCACUAGACUUCUGCACCUCC